CUGGCUCAGGAUGAACGCUAGCUACAGGCUUAACACAUGCAAGUCAGGGGCAGCAUGAUCUGUGCUUGCACAGAUUGAUGGCGACCGGCGCACGGGUGAGUAACGCGUAUCCAACCUUCCCCUUAGUAGGGCAUAGCCCGGCGAAAGUCGGAUUAAUACCCUAUGUUUUUCCAAUGAGGACAUCUGAGCUGGAAUAAAGAUUCAUCGCUAAGGGAUGGGGAUGCGUCCGAUUAGGUUGUUGGCGGGGUAACGGCCCACCAAGCCCUCGAUCGGUAGGGUUCUGAGAGGAAGGUCCCCCACACUGGUACUGAGACACGGACCAGACUCCUACGGGAGGCAGCAGUGAGGAAUAUUGGUCAAUGGGCGAGAGCCUGAACCAGCCAAGUAGCCGUGCAGGAUGACGGCCCUAUGGGUUGUAAACUGCUUUUAUACGGGGAUAAAGUGAGGGACGUGUCCCUUAUUGUAGGUACCGUAUGAAUAAGGACCGGCUAAUUCCGUGCCAGCAGCUGC
rnacentral:rRNA from 1 species